CCUACGGGAGGCAGCAGUAAGGAAUAUUGGUCAAUGGGCGGAAGCCUGAACCAGCCAUGCCGCGUGCAGGAAGACGGCCCUACGGGUUGUAAACUGCUUUUGCAGGGGAAUAAGCCCCGGUACGUGUACCGGGCUGAAUGUACUCUGAGAAUAAGGAUCGGCUAACUCCGUGCCAGCAGCCGCGGUAAUACGGAGGAUCCAAGCGUUAUCCGGAUUUAUUGGGUUUAAAGGGUGCGUAGGCGGCCUAUUAAGUCAGGGGCGAAAGACGGUAGCUUAACUAUCGCAGUGCCUUUGAUACUGAUGGGCUUGAAUGGACUAGAGGUAGGCGGAAUGUGACAAGUAGCGGUGAAAUGCAUAGAUAUGUCACAGAACACCAAUUGCGAAGGCAGCUUACUAUGGUUUAAUUGACGCUGAGGCACGAAAGCGUGGGGAUCAAACAGGAUUAGAUACCCUGGUAGUCCACGCCCUAAACGAUGAACACUCGAUGUUAGCGAUAUACAGUUAGCGUCUAAGCGAAAGCGUUAAGUGUUCCACCUGGGGAGUACGCCCGCAAGGUGAAACUCAAAGAGUAGUAGAGNGNGAGACGNGACGACGACGACGACGAGGAGAGG
rnacentral:rRNA from 1 species